AAUCCCUACAUACAUUGUCAUGCAAACUAGUUAUGCUAACGGAAAUAUAUUAGCAGUAUUACAUUAAACACAUCUACAACUGCUGUCCUCUAAUCUAAAUGAGGUCCUACCGUUCCCUCUG